rnacentral:rRNA from 1 species
UACGGAGGGGGCGAGCGUUAUUCGGAAUUAUUGGGCGUAAAGGGCGCGUAGGCGGCUCUUUAAGUCAAAGGUGAAAUCCCUCGGCUCAACUGAGGAACUGCCUUUGAAACUGAGGAGCUUGAGUCCGGGAGGGGGUAGCGGAAUUCCCAGUGUAGCGGUGAAAUGCGUAGAUAUUGGGAGGAACACCAGUGGCGAAGGCAGCUCGCUGGGACGGUACUGACGCUAAGGCGCGAAAGCGUGGGGAGCGAACAGG